GACGAACGCUGGCGGCGUGCUUAACACAUGCAAGUCGAACGGUGAAGCGCCUUCCUUUUUGGUGGGUGUGGAUGAGUGGCGAACGGGUGAGUAACACGUGAGUAACCUGCCCCCUUCUUCUGGAUAACCGCAUGAAAGUGUGGCUAAUACGGGAUAUUCUGGGUCUGUCGCAUGAUGGGUCUGGGAAAGAUAUUGUUUCGGUGGGGGAUGGGCUCGCGGCCUAUCAGCUUGUUGGUGGGGUGAUGGCCUACCAAGGCGGUGACGGGUAGCCGGCCUGAGAGGGUGGACGGUCACACUGGGGCUGAGACACGGCCCAGACUCCUACGGGGGGCAGGCGUGGGGAAUAUUGCACAAUGGGCGCAAGGCUGAUGCAGCGACGCCGCGGUAGGGAUGGAGGCCUUCGGGUUGUGAACCUCUUUCGCCAGUGAAGCAGGGCUGCCUCGUUUGUGGGUGGGUUGACGGUAGCUGGAUAAGAAGCGCCGGCUAACUACGUG
rnacentral:rRNA from 1 species